rnacentral:lncRNA from 1 species
GUUCAUCUAGUUCUAGUUCUAGUUCCUCUAGUUCUAGUUCUAGUUCUAGUUGUAAUCUAGAAAAUAGGGAGAGAGAAGAGGAGAGCGGAGGAGGAGCCGGAUCUGUCGGAUCUUCGUCAACAUUGUACUUUUGCAGCAUCUGGUUCGUUCUUCAUCGUUCUCCAGGUUCUUCAAUUCAUAAUUCCUGAGUUCUUUAAUUACUUUUAUUUACAUUCAAGUUAUUUAUUGGAUUCCCGCUUGCAUCAAGUGCUCUAGUCUUUAUAACGCUAGAGUAGUAAUUAAUAGAUUAGACGUGGUGUUUAGUCUUGCAAUUACCUGGAAUUGCACCCAAUCCUGCGGAUUGUUGUGGUAGCCUUAGGGUAGUAACAGCCCUAACGGUCGACGUAUUCCACCACGUUCGGAUCGGUGUUUGUAGGACCGUAGUCAGACCUUCCUAGCCCCCUUCUCAUCUCUUUCUGUGGUUAGCGCUCUGAUGUCCCGAUAUAGAUAAUCUUGAAGUAAUUCUUGAUUCUUAGAUCAACUAGAGAACUCUCAGGAAACUUCCUCUCUUCCCACCAAAAAUACUUAUAUAGUUAUCCCUGGGCGAUCUUGGAUCUUAAUUAGUACACUCACGUUCUCUGUGGAAAAUCGAUACUCUGGAUUACUCCCGGGUGAAAGCUACAUCGGUAUCCGUGCGCUUGCGGAUUUUUUUCUGUUUGCGUUUAAAAUACCCAACAAGCUUUCUGGUGCCGUUGCCGGGGAACGCUAGUUGUGCUUGUUUCGAACCAAGUCUCCCGUGUAUCCUUUUUCUUUUCUUUUUUUUACCAUACUCACCUUAUCACUUUCACCAUACCACAUGGAUUUCACUCUAAGCAUUAACGAGCAUGGAAAUUAUUUCAUAGCCACUUCAUUUACUCCAUGCUCAUAUGCAACAUCUUCACAAUCCAUUGGUCUCUCCAACAUCACCACAUUCGAGAUCUCCAACCCCAUCAUCCUCACUAUUUAUAAAAACUUUAAAAGGGCGGUUGUCGAUGCAUAUGUCUAUAUUAAAUAUUGCAGAUCUUGUUGAGUUGAUCUUGAUAUUGGUCAGCGUUGGAGGGGAAACCACUUCGCAGACAUAAAUUGAUGGUUUCCCGAGGACAAGCUUAGUGUCCUAAAAUAAGCACUGAUCAGAUCGUAACAUGAGCUUUUAAUUAUUUGCAACAUUACCUUGUGUAAUGUUGAAAAUAAGGAUAAUUGUAAAAAAAUUCCUUCGGGUAUUCUUGUUACUAACCUUUUCAGGAUUGGAGU